UUUUGUUUAUUUAUAACCACUACUCAACUCAUUAAUUCCUGCUCCAGUGAAAGUUUGUACCUUAUUACCGAGCUGGGCUUUACUGACUUCAACUUCCACCUCCUGGAUCUCACUCAGUCGUUUUCUUUCCCAGGGAAAAGGCCCGGUCUUUGUCUCCAGGGGCCCGUGGCCCUGAGUGGGCAGCCGCCUCCAAAAAAUCCCAACCACCAAGGAUAUGUCGCAGACCCAAGCUGCCCCCACCUCAAACCUGUGCUGCCCUGACAGUCCCAAGGGAACCCUACAAACUGACAUCAGGAACCUGGGCUGGCCACUUUUCUUUCCCAGGGAAAAGGGCCUGUACUCUCCAGGUGAGUGAGGUGGGAGCAGGUUGGCUCUGGGACACAUCCUUGGUCAUUCGGAUUUUUUGGAGGGGGCCGCCCACUCAGGGCCAGCCUGUCCCUCGCUCUUCCCAGGAGGUGGCAGUCACUUCCCAAGAUGCAGGGACGAAAGGGGAGUCCCGGAGAGGAGAUCUGGAGCUGGGCUGGGUGUCACAAGAGUGCUCUGGGUAGCCAGGCUGGUGGCAGGGCAGGUGGCCGGGGGGAUUUGGGGAUAUGGUCGGGUGGGCUUGCACCAAGCCAGGGGACUGUGGUGCAGCCACACCUGGAAUCCCAGGAGUGGCAGGGGUGUGACCAGUGAGUCACAUUGUGUCCCAGGGUGGGAACAGGGAGCUCCUGAGGUGGACCUGAGGACACUGAGUCACGAGGGUGCUGUUCCACGAAGGACACUGAGUCACGAGGGUGCUGUUCCACAAAGGUGAUGAGUUCCAGAGGUGCUGUCCCAGGAGGGACGCUGAGUCACCGGCCUGAGGUGUGCCAAGGCGUCAGUGAUGUCAUGGCACUGCCUGUGGGAAUGGGAACAGGGAGGCAGCACCAGGGGAACCCACCUGGCUGUGAGGGAAAGGAGAUGGGUACAAGAGAGGCUCUCCAGAUGCCACCUGGCUGUCACCCCACAGGGUUUUCCUUCCCUGCUCUGCCCAAUUCUGCACCCAGCAGAGCACUCCACCUCCACCUUAUGUGGCUCAAGUGCCCCAUGGGAUGGUUGUCCAUGCUUUCCCAGCUCAGGAAAUGCAGCAGAGAGCUCAGGGGACCAUGAAGAGUCCUUUCCCAGAGCUGGAAAUGUCUUGGGAUGCCCUGAAGACAAUCCCUGCUCCUGCACCACCAAGAAACUGCAGUCAGGACAGAUGCACAGAGAUGCAGCUCAUGACCCUGACAGCCUCCAGUGACAGUUACCAUGACUAUCCCCAAAGUCCUCUGAGCCAGAAGAUGCCAAGUCCA